AGCAUGUACAGGGAGAAGAGAAUGGGGCCUAGGAUGGAGCCUUGUGGCACCCCGCAGUAAAGGCUAGCUAGGGAAGAGAAAGAAUUGCCUAUGUUGGCAGGUAGGAGACGAACCAGCUCAGGGCAGUG